rnacentral:sRNA from 1 species
AUCACCGCUAUUUUUCCUACUGGAAGACGUUAACUGAUGUCUACUUGCUGCCCAACAAAAAUUGCGGCUAUGUCAAGUAUUCGGAGGCAGAGAGUGCUCAGAGAGCCAUUCAUGUUUUAAACGGCGCUGAGAUAUGUGGCACCAAAAUAAAGGUCAUGGAGGCUGAAGACCGUAGCGGCUCGGAUGGCUAUGAUGGUGGACGGAAGCGUCUAAGACGUAACUAAUUACUCACUGACUUAAACGUAAAAUGUACGAGUACUUUACCUACUUGAGAAAA